rnacentral:tRNA from 1 species
UGGAGCAGUUGGCAGCUCGUCGGGCUCAUAACCCGAAGGUCGUAGGUUCAAGUCCUGC